UAGGGAAUCUUCGGCAAUGGACGGAAGUCUGACCGAGCAACGCCGCGUGAGUGAAGAAGGUUUUCGGAUCGUAAAGCUCUGUUGUAAGAGAAGAACGAGUGUGAGAGUGGAAAGUUCACACUGUGACGGUAUCUUACCAGAAAGGGACGGCUAACUACGUGCCAGCAGCCGCGGUAAUACGUAGGUCCCGAGCGUUGUCCGGAUUUAUUGGGCGUAAAGCGAGCGCAGGCGGUUAGAUAAGUCUGAAGUUAAAGGCUGUGGCUUAACCAUAGUACGCUUUGGAAACUGUUUAACUUGAGUGCAAGAGGGGAGAGUGGAAUUCCAUGUGUAGCGGUGAAAUGCGUAGAUAUAUGGAGGAACACCGGUGGCGAAAGCGGCUCUCUGGCUUGUAACUGACGCUGAGGCUCGAAAGCGUGGGGAGCAAACAGGAUUAGAUACCCUGGUAGUCCACGCCGUAACGAUGAGUGCUAGGUGUUAGACCCUUUCCGGGGUUUAGUGCCGUAGCUAACGCAUUAAGCACUCCGCCUGGGGGAGUACGACCGCAAGGUUG
rnacentral:rRNA from 1 species